GGCGGAAUGGCGAGACGCGAGGGUCUUAAAAACCCUGGGCCCCUCGAGGGCCGUGUGGGUUCGAAUCCCACCCCGG
rnacentral:tRNA from 1 species